rnacentral:rRNA from 1 species
GACGAACGCUGGCGGCGUGCUUAACACAUGCAAGUCGAACGAUGAAGAAGAGACACGCGAACUUCGGUUCAAAUUUCACUUCGGAUUAGUGGCAGACGGGUGAGUAACGCGUGAGCAACCUACCUCUUACAAAGGGAUAGCCUCGGGAAACCGUGAUUAAUACCAUCUGACACAUUCAUAAGGCAUCUUAAGAAUGUUAAAGCUACGGCGGUAAGAGAUGGGCUCGCGUCCCAUUAGCUAGUUGGUGAGGUAACGGCCCACCAAGGCGACGAUGGGUAACCGGCCUGAGAGGGUGAACGGUCACAUUGGAACUGAGACACGGUCCAAACUCCUACGGGAGGCAGCAGUGGGGAAUAUUGCACAAUGGAGGGAACUCUGAUGCAGCGACGCCGCGUGAGCGAUGAAGGAAUUCGUUUCGUAAAGCUCUGUUAUAUGGGAAGAAAAGGACUGUACCAUAGGAGAAAGCCCCGGCUAAAUACGUG